rnacentral:rRNA from 1 species
GACGAACGCUGGCGGCGUGCUUAACACAUGCAAGUCGAACGGAAAGGCCCUGCUUUUGUGGGGUGCUCGAGUGGCGCACGGGUGAGUAACACGUGAGUAACCUGCCCUUGACUUUGGGAUAACUUCAGGAAACUGGGGCUAAUACCGGAUAGGAGCUCCUGCUGCAUGGUGGGGGUUGGAAAGUUUCGGCGGUUGGGGAUGGACUCGCGGCUUAUCCGCUUGUUGGUGGGGUAGUGGCUUACCAAGGCUUUGACGGGUAGCCGGCCUGAGAGGGUGACCGGCCACAUGGGGACUGAGAUACGGCCCAGACUCCUACGGGAGGCAGCAGUGGGGAAUAUGGCACAGUGGGCGGAAGCCUGAUGCAGCAACGCCGCGUGCGGGAUGACGGCCUUCGGGUUGUAAACCGCUUUCGCCUGUGACGAAGCGUGAGUGACGGUAAUGGGUAAAGAAGCACCGGCUAACUACGUG